ACUGCUCUAGUUUAUAAAAAAUGUUGUGUUGUGGUCGCAAAGAUAAAUUCUGAUUUGGGUGGUAUA
rnacentral:tRNA from 1 species